rnacentral:rRNA from 1 species
GGACCAGUAUGUUGGUCGUGCUUCGGUACGUACUGUCAUUACCGGUUUCUACCUUCUGAAGAACCGCGAUGUCAUUAAUUUGGUGUCGUGGGGAAUCAGGACUGUUACUUUGAAAAAAUUAGAGUGUUCAAAGCAGGCGUAACCUUGCCAUUGAAUAUUACAGCAUGGGAUAAUAGAAUA